rnacentral:rRNA from 1 species
GACGAACGCUGGCGGCGUGCUUAACACAUGCAAGUCGAACGGAAAGGCCCUGCUUUUGUGGGGUGCUCGAGUGGCGAACGGGUGAGUAACACGUGAGUAACCUGCCCUUUACGUUGGGAUAACUGCAGGAAACUGGGGCAAAUACUGGAUAGGAGCUCCGGCUGCAUGGUGGGGGUUGGAAAGGUUCGGCGGUUGGGGAUGGACUCGCGGCUUAUCAGCUUGUUGGUGGGGUAGUGGCUUACCAAGGCUUUGACGGGUAGCCGGCCUGAGAGGGUGACCGGCCACAUUGGGACUGAGAUACGGCCCAGACUCCUACGGGAGGCAGCAGUGGGGAAUAUUGCACAAUGGGCGGAAGCCUGAUGCAGCAACGCCGCGUGCGGGAUGACGGCCUUCGGGUUGUAAACCGCUUUCGCCUGUGACGAAGCGUGAGUGACGGUAAUGGGUAAAGAAGCACCGGCUAACUACGUG